rnacentral:rRNA from 1 species
UGGGGAAUAUUGGACAAUGGACCAAAAGUCUGAUCCAGCAAUUCUGUGUGCACGAUGAAGGUCUUCGGAUUGUAAAGUGCUUUCAGUAGGGAAGAAUAAAUGACGGUACCUACAGAAGAAGCGACGGCUAAAUAUGUGCCAGCAGCCGCGGUAAUACAUAUGUCGCAAGCGUUAUCCGGAUUUAUUGGGCGUAAAGCGCGUCUAGGCGGUUUACUAAGUCUGAUGUGAAAAUGCGGGGCUCAACUCCGUA